rnacentral:rRNA from 1 species
GACGAACGCUGGCGGCGUGCCUAACACAUGCAAGUCGAACGGAAGUAAGUGCUUCGGUAUUUACUUUAGUGGCGAACGGGUGAGUAACGCGUGAGGAACCUGCCUUUCAGUGGGGACGAACAGUUGGAACGACUGCUAAUACCGCAUGACGCUUCUUAGGGCGAUCCCUGAGAAGUCAAAGCUUUAUGUGCUGAAAGAUGGCCUCGCGUCUGAUUAGCUAGUUGGUGGGGUAACGGCCCACCAAGGCGACGAUCAGUAGCCGGUCUGAGAGGAUGAACGGCCACAUUGGGACUGAGAUACGGCCCAG